UUUUGUGUUUACAAGGAUAUUGCACAGUUAGGAGUAGGGCUACGUAGAAUGGGUAGGAUAUUUUUUUGUUUUACAAUACAUAGUAUGUAGGAUUAAGAGAAGCUAGUAAAUUAAUGAAUGGAUAGUUUAGAAGACAAGAAGGAUGAUGUAGUUAGAGAAAGUAGUUAUCAUCAGUUGUAUAGUGGUUGGCAUUUUGAGGAAAGCAUAAGUAGUUUGAAGAAGAAGUAAAUGAGGCCAGACUAUGAUAGUCAUAAGUGAGAGUAAGCUUGAUGCUACUUCUUUGUGUCAUUGUUUCUUUAUAGAAAAAGAGUAAUGGAUAGAAUUUAAAUAAUGUGAAGUAAAAUUCUA
rnacentral:lncRNA from 1 species